rnacentral:rRNA from 1 species
GACAGAGGGUGCAAACGUUGUUCGGAAUUACUGGGCGUAAAGCGCGUGUAGGCGGCUAUGCAAGUCGGAUGUGAAAGCCCUCGGCUCAACCGGGGAAGUGCACCCGAAACUGCAAAGCUAGAGUCUCGGAGAGGAUCGUGGAAUUCUCGGUGUAGAGGUGAAAUUCGUAAGAUAUCGAGAGGAAACACCGGUGGCGAAGGCGGGCGA